rnacentral:lncRNA from 1 species
CUCUUUUUCACAAAAGCUCUCUCUUUAAAAGACCCCUGAAUCUUAAAACGAUCGUUGUCCACUGCUUGACAGUCUGUCUGAAGCCUCUGCUUCUGCUCUCUGUCGGUGUCUAGCUUCAGAGUCUACCGCUGUUGUUGCUACCGAACUCACUACUGCUGCUACUCUUAGUUCUCAGUCAAACACACCACUGCUCUCUGUCUUGUCCAUAGGCUUUUUAAAGAUUUGAAUCCGAGCCCU